CAGGAGGAAAAUCUUUUUCCCUGCUCCUUUACUGUAUCCAUCAUAGAAGAGAAAACUCCAGAUUAAAGAACAAAACAAACAUCCUUUUGCCCACAACCUUUCCUGCAGCAGAAACAGCUGAGCCGCUGGUUUAGGAAACUCUGAAUUCUGAAAUUAAAAUUGCAUGAGAGGAAAAUGGAAGCACAUAAACAGCAUCAAAGAAAAAAUUUUGUCAAGUGAUGGUCUCAAACACAUGUGAAGACGUUUUUGUGACAAGAUGGCAACAGAGGAAGGGAAAGUAGGCUGGUUUGUGCCUGAGGCUCCUAUAACAGAAGACAGAUUAACAAGAGAAAAGUAGAUACAUUUAUUUCAUACAAGUUUUACAUGAUGUGAGAAACUUCGUAAGGAAAGAAACACCAAAGAAAUAGCUACAGAUUUGGUGAACUUGCCUGAUAGAAGAAGAUUUUUAAAAUUAUUUUGGAAAAUUAUUAGCUGAAUGGCCUCAGGUGGAACUUCAAACAGGCUCUCAAUUUCUUUGGUAACUUCAAACACAUCACCAGACCCUGAAAACGCAGUGGGAAAAAUGGCACACAAAAUUAGGAGUCAAACUGAAUUUGAUUGGAGCUUUAUUUCCACCACGAAUCAGCUGUUUGGCCCACGGUGAUGGCAACAGAGACAGG
rnacentral:lncRNA from 1 species